GGGCCUCUAGCUCAAUUGGCAGAGCUGCGGACUUUUAAUCCGUAGGUUGUCGGUUCGAAUCCGACGGGGCCCACCA
rnacentral:tRNA from 1 species